ensembl:snRNA U6 U6 spliceosomal RNA
GUGCUCGCUUCGGCUGCACGUAUACUAAAAUUGGAACGAUACAGAGAAGAUUAGCAUGGCUUCUGCACAAGGAUGACACGCAAAUUGGUGAAGCGUUCCAUAUUUAA